ACAUCCAGCGAACUUGGCAGAGAUGCCUUGGUGCCUUCGGGAACGCUGAGACAGGUGCUGCAUGGCUGUCGUCAGCUCGUGUUGUGAAAUGUUGGGUUAAGUCCCGCAACGAGCGCAACCCUUAUCCUUUGUUGCCAGCGAUUCGGUCGGGAACUCAAAGGAGACUGCCGGUGAUAAACCGGAGGAAGGUGGGGAUGACGUCAAGUCAUCAUGGCCCUUACGAGUAGGGCUACACACGUGCUACAAUGGCGCAUACAAAGAGAAGCGACCUCGCGAGAGCAAGCGGACCUCAUAAAGUGCGUCGUAGUCCGGAUCGGAGUCUGCAACUCGACUCCGUGAAGUCGGAAUCGCUAGUAAUCGUGGAUCAGAAUGCCACGGUGAUACGUUCCCGGGCCUUGUACACACCGCCCGUCACACCAUGGGAGUGGGUUGCAAAAGAAGUAGGUAGCUUAACCUUCGGGAGGGCGCUUACCACUUUGUGAUUCAUGACUGGGGUGAAGUCGUAACAAGGUAGGCGUAGCGAG
rnacentral:rRNA from 1 species